UUAAUCCUACGGGGGGCAGCAGUGAGGAAUAUUGGUCAAUGGGCGGAAGCCUGAACCAGCCACGCCGCGUGAGGGAGGAAGGUACAGAGUAUCGUAAACCUCUUUUGUCAGGGAACAAAGGCGGGGACGUGUCCCCGGAUGAGUGUACCUGAAGAAAAAGCAUCGGCUAACUCCGUGCCAGCAGCCGCGGUAAUACGGAGGAUGCGAGCGUUAUCCGGAUUUAUUGGGUUUAAAGGGUGCGCAGGCGGUCUGUUAAGUCAGCGGUCAAAGCCCGGGGCUCAACCUCGGCC
rnacentral:rRNA from 1 species